GUGGACGUAGCUCAGUUGGUAGAGCCCCGGAUUGUGAUUCCGGUGGUCGUGGGUUCAAUCCCCAUCGUCCACCCCA
rnacentral:tRNA from 1 species